CCGAGAGAAUUGGUGAUAUGAUCUUACGAUGUAAAAAAAUGACCACAUUCUGUCUCUUUAUAUUUGCCUUAAUAAUUGUUAUUAUUUCAUAAAUUUCUUAGUACCCAUUCUGCUUGUUUCUACGUGCAACAAGAAGCCUAAACUCAAAGAAGUCUUCUCCCUCUUAACUUCUCUGUUUCUUUGCUGAAAGAAACGAAGAAAGAAAAUCUAUAUGGAGAAGGAAGAGGCAGGGAUUGAUCGUUUACCAAUAGACUUGCUGGCUUACAUAUUUGGUUUGAUAACUCCCUUCACUGAUUUAGCCCAGGCAAGUAGUGUUUGCAGGAAAUGGAAAGAAGGGGUGAAGCAAUCUUUGGCACAAAGAAACAGCUUGAGCUUUUCUGGUUGGAAGAUGGAUGAUGACUCCACUACCCGUCUUGUUCGCCUUGCUUACAACCUUAAAGAACUCGAUAUGAGCCGGUGGGGUUGCCAGAUAACUGACAAUGGACUGUACCAAAUUUCUUUGGCAAACUGAAAUCCAUAUCUCUAUGGGGCAUGGCCAGGAUCACCGACAGGGGUGUUGUUCAACUGGUAUGUGAUAGACGAUAACUGUAACUUUGUUUAGUGUAGAACUUCAUGUGAUAAGCUUUGGUGACUGUACCAGUCUCCAAUCACGCAAAAUGAUUCAACCUUGAAGUAUUUCAUAGCUUUCUUCAAGUUUCAACAGAUUUCAAGGGUAACUCCUUGCAACACCUGGACAUAGGUGGUACUUUUAUGACAGAUGAGUCUUUAUUUGCUAUCGCAGAUAGCUUUCCACAUUUAAAGACUGUUGUCCUAUGGAGCUGCCGCCAUGUAACAGAAAUCGGUCUUCUUUCUUUCUUAACGUAUGGGGAACCAGAAUUCCUGUAGAUUUCUUCAUUGAUUUGCGUGACACUAGUCCUGCCCUUCAAAUUUAACCCCCAGGAGCACUAUUAAACAGUGCUCAUUGCUCUUGUAUGGAUUAUUAUUUCCCGAUGGAUCCAAUAAACAGCUGGGAAUAUCCUUCAGAUUCUUCCUCUGUAACAAUGAAGUUAAUUAUUCGUAUCUGUAAAUUAUGAAAUUUGGCUUUGAUACGUCAAGAUUUGUGCUUUAUACAAAUGAAUCUUCUGGUUUUUCAAUC